UUGAGGAUACCUACUUUACUUCUCUAGUUCUUUUUCUUUGACCAUCAUUUUCUCUUUUCUUUAUUUUAUUUUUCUUCAUCAAUGAAAGAUAGUUCAUGAUCAUCUUUUCUUUUAUGAAGCAGCUUUUCAUUCUCCUUUUAAUUUCUUGAUCUCCAUCCGGUCAUCCUCUCUGGCUCUCUAUAUGUAAGAGGAUGAAGCAACAAGUUCUAAAAAGAGAAAAAGAGGACCAAGAAACUUAAACAAAGUCUCUGCCGACAAGAACAUAGGAAGAAACCAAACUGAUGAUGUGAAUGAUGAGGAUGAGGAUGGACUAGAUGAAGAUGGACUCCAUGAGACAACCGUAAUUUUAGAUGAUGAAAAAGAGGUUGAUAACAACUUUAAUCCUGAACCUUAGUCAUGUGAUGCUAUCAAGUCUUUUGACAUUUACUUGAUUACAAGAUCGCUACUUACAUCAUUUCAUGUGCUACAUAUGCAUUUUUGACCAAUUGUGGUGUAAAUUUGGAAAUGAAUUGUGAGUCUAUGACUCGAAACUAGCACGCAUGUAAUCUUUUAGUAAAUGUAUUAAGGAAAUCAACUUAAAUCU